UUAAAAUAGACAUCAUCAAGAAAAGAAAGGUCCUUCUCCCCGGGGUCUGUCCAAGUGGCUUUGGGAGUAUAGGGUUCUGUCCCAUGGUAAAUGGUCCCUUUCUACAUUGUUGGAGAUAAAACUGGGCUCGUGUUUGCGCCUGCAUAUUCCUAUGACUUCUCAGAGUCCCAUGGACAAUGACUAGGGAGACAAACUAUGCAAAAAAAAAAA
rnacentral:snoRNA from 1 species